AUGAACAGUUACUCAUUGCCGGGCACUGUUCUAGAUGCGGAGCCUACAAGAGGAGGGGACACUGUCCCUCCCCCACAAAGAUCACCUUCCACUGGGGAGAACAGACCCAGUGGAGAUCUCACUGAGCAGCUGGCGCGCAUCAAUAAAGUACAACAAAAAAUUGCUCGCAUGAUCAAAAUCGACCCUGUCCUGGGCACCCAAGAGGUUAACUUCUACUGGAGGAGAUAUAAUAUUUCAGAUUUAGAAUCCAUGUCAUGGAUCAUAGAGGCACUUACUGCCAGGGUCGUGGGGUGGGUACACGUCAGGAGUGGCUUCCCCGAGGAGCAAACCUAUAGUGGAGAUUUAGAAUUGGACGGAGAAUUCAUCAAACAAGGGCUGGGAGGAAGGCCAGCAGUCCAGCCUCAGGGCACCACGGUGAGAGGAGAGGCCCAUUGGCAGGGGGGAUGCUUUGAUCAGUUUGGGAAGGCGGUGUAA
rnacentral:lncRNA from 1 species